CUCCCGACUCCUGCGUGCGUCUGUGACUCGAGUCCGCCGCCCGCCGGCAGGAGCCCCCCUCGUGCAACCCCCGCCUAGCCAGGUCGCCGGCCUCGCCGUCGUUCCUCGUUGCUCCCUGCCCGGCUGCCCCCCUCCCCCGACUCGGCGACUCCCAGUCCCACUUCCAACCGGGGAUUAGGGUGUACGUAGCAAAAAUGGCUACAAAAGGCGAUCGUAUGCGCACCAGAUGAUCGAAGCUGGAGGGCCACCAUAAAAAGAAGUUUGGGUGUAGAUUUUUUCAUGAGCCCACUGCAAUCUACAUGCAAAUUGCAAGUGCAUGAACCAUAAACUCAUCAAGCCUGCUGGUGGGCUACCUUUUAAUCGCUCCAGAGCCAAAUAAAAUACGCUGCAUCCUGUCUGGAGCUACCUCGGUAAUACCCUAAUUCGAGGGUUUUCGACUGAGGAAGAGCACGGGGUGCACCAGCGAUCUCGUCGACUAACAAGGACUAGGGGAGUUGCAAGAUUUAACCAGUUUCAGGCCCUCGGAAGUUAUACCCCUACUUCAUGCUUUUUGUGUAUUGUAUUGAUCGAGAUUACAGAGAAGCUACGAGGUUAUGAUGUGCAGAUAAAUCUGGCGGAUGUGUAGAGGUUACCCAUUCCCGACUCCCCCUCCUAGCCUUAUAUACUGUCGGCUAGGUCUCGGGCGUGAUAAUCGGGAAGGUUACGAUCAAAUCAGUUUAUUCUGGUACGAAACAAUUAUGCUCCUUGGCUUGAGCCGCACAUUGAGGGACUCGACCUGCAUAUACUUGAUGGGCCUUCGAGUGGACCCCUGCUGGGUUGUAUCGGUUACAUGAAGGUUGAGGACUCGAAGGGUCAUUCCCUCGUCAGUUAGCUCCCGAGUUCCUGUUCGAGGCGCAGGCUCGGGUAGGGACUCAAGAGUUUUUAUUUCAGUUAUUCGACUGUAUGUCAAGAUGCAGAUAGUCUUCUUGCUUCAAAUGUCCAUCGGUCAAUCGACUAGAAUGUUUGCCAGACCCAAAAUUUGGGAAUUCCCGACCUGUGGCUCGGAAACCACAGGGCGUUUCUGCGAA